UACGGAGGGUGCGAGCGUUAUCCGGAUUUACUGGGUUUAAAGGGUGUGUAGGCGGACUAUUAAGUCAGUGGUGAAAUCCCGGGGCUCAACCUCGGAACUGCCUUUGAUACUAUUAGUCUUGAAUGUUGUUGAGGUGGGCGGAACGGGUCAUGUAGCGGUGAAAUGCAUAGAUAUGACCCGGAACACCGAUUGCGAAGGCAGCCCGCUAAGCAACUAUUGACGCUGAGGCACGAAAGCGUGGGGAUCAAACAGG
rnacentral:rRNA from 1 species